CGCUGGCGGCAGGCUUAACACAUGCAAGUCGAGCGGAAACGAUGAUAGCUUGCUAUCAGGCGUCGAGCGGCGGACGGGUGAGUAAUACUUAGGAAUCUACCUAGUAGUGGGGGAUAGCUCGGGGAAACUCGAAUUAAUACCGCAUACGACCUACGGGAGAAAGGGGGCAACUUGUUGCUCUCGCUAUUAGAUGAGCCUAAGUCGGAUUAGCUAGAUGGUGGGGUAAAGGCCUACCAUGGCGACGAUCUGUAGCUGGUCUGAGAGGAUGAUCAGCCACACCGGGACUGAGACACGGCCCGGACUCCUACGGGAGGCAGCAGUGGGGAAUAUUGGACAAUGGGGGCAACCCUGAUCCAGCCAUGCCGCGUGUGUGAAGAAGGCCUUUUGGUUGUAAAGCACUUUAAGCAGUGAAGAAGACUCCAUGGUUAAUACCCAUGGACGAUGACAUUAGCUGCAGAAUAAGCACCGGCUAACUCUGUGCCAGCAGCCGCGGUAAUACAGAGGGUGCAAGCGUUAAUCGGAAUUACUGGGCGUAAAGCGAGCGUAGGUGGCUUGAUAAGUCAGAUGUGAAAUCCCCGGGCUUAACCUGGGAACUGCAUCUGAUACUGUUAGGCUAGAAUAGGUGAGAGGAAGGUAGAAUUCCAGGUGUAGCGGUGAAAUGCGUAGAGAUCUGGAGGAAUACCGAUGGCGAAGGCAGCCUUCUGGCAUCAUAUUGACACUGAGGUUCGAAAGCGUGGGUAGCAAACAGGAUUAGAUACCCUGGUAGUCCACGCCGUAAACGAUGUCUACUAGUCGUUGGGUCCCUUGAGGACUUAGUGACGCAGCUAACGCAAUAAGUAGACCGCCUGGGGAGUACGGCCGCAAGGUUAAAACUCAAAUGAAUUGACGGGGGCCCGCACAAGCGGUGGAGCAUGUGGUUUAAUUCGAUGCAACGCGAAGAACCUUACCUGGUCUUGACAUAUCUAG
rnacentral:rRNA from 1 species